UGGGCAACCUGCCCUCAGCUCUGGGAUAACUCCAAGAAAUUGGGGCUAAUACCGGAUAUGACCGCUGACCGCAUGGUCUGGUGGUGGAAAGAUUUAUCGGCUGGGGAUGGGCCCGCGGCCUAUCAGCUUGUUGGUGGGGUNAUGGCCUACCAAGGCGACGACGGGUAGCCGGCCUGAGAGGGCGACCGGCCACACUGGGACUGAGACACGGCCCAGACCUCCGUACGGGGAG
rnacentral:rRNA from 1 species